GACGUAGGGCGCGAGCGUUGUCCGGAUUUAUUGGGCGUAAAGAGCUCGUAGGCGGCUUGUUGCGUCGACUGUGAAAACCUGCGGCUCAACCGUGUGGUCUGCAGUCGAUACGGGCAGGCUGGAGUUCGGUAGGGGAGACUGGAAUUCAUGGUGUAGCAGUGAAAUGCGUAGAGAUCAUGAGGAAGACCAGUGGCGAAGGCGGGUCUCUGGACAGUUCCUGACACUGAGGCACGAAGGCCAGGGGAGCAAACGGG
rnacentral:rRNA from 1 species